GGGCGAUUAGCUCAGCGGGAGAGCACUGCCUUCACACGGCAGGGGUCGCUGGUUCGAUCCCAGCAUCGCCCACCA
rnacentral:tRNA from 4 species